rnacentral:snRNA from 1 species
GUGCUCACUCUGGCAGCACGUAUACUAAAACUGGAAUGCUACAGAGAAGGUUAGCGUGGCCCCUGCACAAAGAUGGCACGCAAAUUCAUGAAGCGGGCCAUGAUUUU